AUUGAACGCUGGCGGCAUGCCUUACACAUGCAAGUCGUACGGUAACGCGGGGCAACCUGGCGACGAGUGGCGAACGGGUGAGUAAUGUAUCGGAACGUGCCCAGUUGUGGGGGAUAACUGCUCGAAAGAGCAGCUAAUACCGCAUACGACCUGAGGGUGAAAGCGGGGGAUCGCAAGACCUCGCGCAAUUGGAGCGGCCGAUAUCAGAUUAGGUAGUUGGUGGGGUAAAGGCUCACCAAGCCGACGAUCUGUAGCUGGUCUGAGAGGACGACCAGCCACACUGGGACUGGGGCACGGCCCCGACUCCGACGGGAGGCAGCAGUGGGGAAUUUUGGACAAUGGACGCAAGUCUGAUCCAGCCAUGCCGCGGGCGGGAAGAAGGCCUUCGGGUUGUAAACCGCUUUUGUCAGGGAAGAAAAGGCUCCUUCUAAUAUAGGGGGCUCAUGACGGUACCUGAAGAAUAAGCACCGGCUAACUACGUGCCAGCAGCCGCCGCCG
rnacentral:rRNA from 1 species